AGCGAACGCUGGCGGCAGGCUUAACACAUGCAAGUCGAACGGGUGCAGCAAUGCAUCAGUGGCAGACGGGUGAGGAACACGUGGGAACAUGCCCUUCGGUUCGGAAUAACUCAGGGAAACUUGAGCUAAUACCGGAUACGCCCUUAGGGGGAAAGAUUUAUUGCCGAAGGAUUGGCCCGCGUCUGAUUAGCUAAUUGGUGAGGUAAUGGCUCACCAAGGCGACGAUCAGUAGCUGGUCUGAGAGGAUGAUCAGCCACACUGGGACUGAGACACGGCCCAGACUCCUACGGGAGGCAGCAGUGGGGAAUAUUGGACAAUGGGCGCAAGCCUGACGGAGCAAGACCGCGUGGGGGAGGAAGGUUUGUGGACUGUAAACCCCUUUUAUCAGAGAAGAACGCAAUGACGGUAUCUGAUGAAUCAGCCUCGGCUAACGUCCGUGCCAGCAGCCGACGGUAU
rnacentral:rRNA from 1 species